rnacentral:rRNA from 1 species
UACAGAGGGGGCAAGCGUUGUUCGGAAUUACUGGGCGUAAAGGGCGCGUAGGCGGCCCUCUAAGUCAGACGUGAAAUCCCCGGGCUCAACCCGGGAACUGCGUCUGAUACUGGGGGGCUUGAAUCCGGGAGAGGGAUGUGGAAUUCCAGGUGUAGCGGUGAAAUGCGUAGAUAUCUGGAGGAACACCGGUGGCGAAGGCGACAUCCUGGACCGGCAUUGACGCUGAGGCGCGAAAGCCAGGGGAGCAAACGGG